AAUGGCCCAGCUUUAACAUCCAUAGUAUUUUGAGGUAAGUUCACCAUUCAGUUUCAUCUAUCCUGCUACCCUUCUUGGCCUCUUCUUUUUGGAACCCUCUUCCAGAAAAGCUCAGGUGGGGCUGUCACUUUCUUCCAUAAAUCCCUUCGUCAAAACCCACUUUCCCUAUGAAGCUAACCCAAAACAUGUUGCUACCUGAGGUAAAAAAGAAGAUGGCGCCUCCCCACUUCUAACUACAAAAGCCAACCAGACUGGUCGUUGAAAUUUGUUUCAAACGUGCUGCCUGAGGUAGUGGCCUCUCACUGCCUAAUGGUAGAGCUGGUUCUGACACCUGCACUCUUAUCCCCGCUUGAAACAAAGUAUAAUAAUGUAUGUUUAGGGAAGUUUUUAAUGUUUUGUUGAAAGCCGCCCAGAGUGGCCGGGGAAACCCAGCCAGAUGGGCGAGGUAGAAAUAAUAAAUUAUGGUGAUGUCUGCAUUCAUUAAUAUACGUCCCCAAUCAGGAUAAAUGGGUGUGGUGUUUCAUAUUUUUAUUUUUUUAAAUAUCUCGAAUAGUUUUUAAAUGUUUUGUAUACGAAACUGCUUUUAAUUGCUUUUACAUUUUGCUUUAUGGCUGUAACUUGUGUCAUUUGUUUUAUAAUUGCGUGUUUUAUUGUUAUAACCUUAUGGUAGCUGCCUCAUUGUAAAGGGCAAAUAAAAUUUGAUUAUGAUAUGACAGAACAAAUAACGCUUAUCGCUGUUCAAGCAGAAUAAGCACCCCAUCAUGACAUGAAGGAUAAUGUGAAAUUAGCCUGUUCUUCCAGAGGUCUGCUAUAUACCUCAUAGACUCAUUUAACAGCAAGUUAAUUUCAGAAAAAACAUGGCUGCUCUUUGUCACCUGUUUGCUUUAAAAACAGUUAAUGCUGGUGCGAAACACUUGCAUUUGCAACCUUAGAAAACCAAGCAGCUUUCAAUUUAACAGUUAACAUGAACUUUUGAAAACUCGGGUCUUUUAACUGCAUGUAAGUUUUCCACCCACAGGUAUAUAUACCAAAGGUCAAAGUAUUCUUGUCAGAAAAACCCAACAACUCUGGCGGCAAAACAAGAAGCCCGUAGCCCAGGAUGCCAAAGCCAGCACAAGAGAGACCACCAGUUCUGACAAUCUGUCAUUCACGUUUCCCACUGUUUGGCUCUAUUGAGGCAAAAUGUGAGAAGCUGCUCCCAAGUCCUCCCCACACAAAGCUCUUUAUGAGUCUUUACUGAGGCGUGAUACAGGCAGCUACGCUGAAGUUGCCAGCCUGAAAGCAGCCCCCUCCUCGUGGCAUUUGGCAGGCUGGCUUUGGGAGGAGGAUAGAUUUAUGAGUUGUAAAAGAUGG